AUGCUCUCGGGGCUCACCUUCAAACAGCGGAGACGGACAGAGGGCACCAAAUGCGGUAAAAAGGGAAAACCCGGAGAGGAGGUUCUGCCCCCGAGAAGCUCUGCUCAGGGCCCCUUCCUGGGAGCCUGUCCUGAGCAAGGAGCCUGCGGGGCGGAGGCCACCAGGUGUCACGGAAGGAGCCAGUGUGCCAACCACUGCUUCACUGCGUCAUGCACUCACUCCCCAAGGCUUCUGCAGGGGCCCUGGGGAGGCCCAGGCCACAGGGCAGGGUCACGCCUUCCAGUAGCUUCCAGUCCGAUGGCGGAGAUAGACAAGGAAACAGAUGAGGCCACGUGGCGUCUUCUCGAGUCAAACCAGGUGAGCCCGUGGGAAUGCCAGGAGGGGCAGUGAAGCCCACCCCAGGAAGAGGUGGUGUCAGGACCUGAGCCUGUGACCCCGGAGCCUCACCCCAGACCAGCUGCUCACCCCUGCUCUGCCAAUCCCUGUUUCCUGUAGACCUCUGGCCACACCGUGCCGGAAGGAUCCAGAAAGCAGACGGGGGGGGUACACUUCCUCUGCACCCCACAAUGCAGACAGGGCCCAGGCUAGCCCUCGGGUGCAGGCUAGCCCGCCACCCCUCAGAAAUACUCAGAAAACACUUGCUGAGUUGAAUUGAAAGGAACUAAAUUAAAUCAAACAAAUAGCACUGGUCUGUCUCAUUGGGUGGGCCACAGCCUCAUGUCCAAUGAUGUGGUCGGGAUGGGGACCAUUUUCCAUUUUCCUCUCCCUCCGGGUCUCCACCCCCAGGGUGGGCACAGGGCUGGGAAACAUCAGAGCUGAUGCGUGCUGACCAUAUUUGUAAAGAUUGCCCCUCUUCUCAGUCAGAAAACUCCAGAAUAGGUCUUGUCUACUCAUCUCCUUCUUCGUUUUAUUCCUCAAAUUUGGGGCAGGGGCACCUCCUGUGGGACGGAAACUGUGCUCGGCCCCGGGGUGAGAAGGGCAACCAGACGCAGUUGCGGACCUGGAAGAGAUCAUCGUCUAGCAGAAGAGAUGGUGCAGGCAGGGGCCACAGGUGGAUGUGGAGGGAGACAUGGCAGGAUGAAGGGUCAAAGGGAGCCCCAGUGGGGACCUGAGUCCAGGAAGGCUUCCUGGAGGAGGGGACCCUUGGGCAGGAAGGAAAGGGGAAGCAGGGCUGGAGAAGGCAGCAAGGGCGUUGAGGGAGGGAGAAGAGCGCAAGCCGUGUGCAGGGCCACUGCAGCGCCGUGGUGGAGGGACCAGGGGGCUGGGGCACGAUGGCCGGAAGCAUUGUUGACUCCACAAGUUUGGAGUUUGUGCUGAAAGCAGACAGGGAAAUCCGGAGGAUGCUGUGGUCCAUUGCUCCCUGGUCCCUGAUGCUCCCAGCCCCGCCUCC
rnacentral:lncRNA from 1 species